rnacentral:rRNA from 1 species
UACGUAGGGGGCAAGCGUUGUCCGGAUUUAUUGGGCGUAAAGAGCGUGUAGGCGGCCAGACAGGUCCGUUGUGAAAACUCGAGGCUCAACCUCGAGACGUCGAUGGAAACCGUCUGGCUAGAGUCCGGAAGAGGAGAGUGGAAUUCCUGGUGUAGCGGUGAAAUGCGCAGAUAUCAGGAAGAACACCCGUGGCGAAGGCGGCUCUCUGGGACGGUACUGACGCUGAGACGCGAAAAGCGUGGGGAGCGAACAGG